GAUGAACGCUGGCGGCGUGCCUAAUACAUGCCAGUCGAGCGAACAGACGAGGAGCUUGCUCCUCUGACGUUAGCGGCGGACGGGUGAGUAACACGUGGAUAACCUACCUAUAAGACUGGGAUAACUUCGGGAAACCGGAGCUAAUACCGGAUAAUAUAUUAAACCGCAUGGUUCAAUAGUGAAAGAGGGUUUUGCUGUCACUUAUAGAUGGAUCCGCGCCGCAUUAGCUAGUUGGUAAGGUAACGGCUUACCAAGGCAACGAUGCGUAGCCGACCUGAGAGGGUGAUCGGCCACACUGGAACUGAGACACGGUCCAGACUCCUACGGGAGGCAGCAGUAGGGAAUCUUCCGCAAUGGGCGAAAGCCUGACGGAGCAACGCCGCGUGAGUGAUGAAGGUCUUCGGAUCGUAAAACUCUGUUAUUAGGGAAGAACAAAUGUGUAAGUAACUAUGCGCGUCUUGACGGUACCUAAUCAGAAAGCCACGGCUAACUACGUG
rnacentral:rRNA from 1 species